UCUCCCCCUCGCCUCCGAUCUCUUUGCACGCCUCUCUCGUCCGCAGCGGCGGCGCUGCCGGUCGCCGGUGAGGGCGUCACAUGCUACCGCGGCGCGCUGAGCUCUUCUCCCUUUCCACCGGCCUUUCCUCCCUUCCUCCAUGUUCUGUUCUCCUAUACGCGCGAGAGAUAACAGAGAGGUGCGGCUCUCUCUGGCCGCUCGGCUACCACGCCGCGCCGGUCGCCGGCGAGGGCGUCAAGCCACCGUGCCGCGCGAGCCGCGCUGGCCCUUUUCCCCUUCCCUUUCUCUUCUUUUUUUGUUCUUUAGACAGAGAGAGACAGAUACGAGGUCAAGCCCUCCUCUGCUCCCCUUUUGUUCGACGGACGACGACGAUCUGUGGCGCCGUCGCCUCCCUUUCGCCGGUGACGCGUUUCUCGUAGCGGAAGCGCGCCGCCGUCGAACGGCGUGGCUGCGGUGCCCCCUUUGUCCUUUGCAGGGUUGUUCUUCGUCUGAACAGCUCGGCUUGCCGAUGCCCGUUCGGAUCGAGAGGAACCGGCGCGGCCUUGCGGCGGCGCACUUUGCCGGCGAGCACUAGGCCCUCUCCGGUGAACUCUUUUCUUUUCUGUUCUAGGGUUUGUGGGGAAGGCUUUGUGGGGAAGGCUUUGUUUGGUUUGAUCCGAAGAAUCCUGCACCCAUCUGGCUGAUACCAUUGAUAGAUCCAUGGGAUCGUGUAGGGUAGGAUUUCCGGGAAACUUAUCCUCUGUUGGUCCAGACGAGCUUGAGCCAGAGAACAUGCCAGAGCUGUAGUGGCCGGUGAUGGCUGAGAGAUGGCGGUGGCGGAGCUUCCCGCCGCUGUCAGCUCCGCCUCGAUUGGUAGGCAGGGCAGGUGGGGUGCGAACCAUUCUUGGCAUACUGCACUCGUGGCCCCACCUCCCUUAUAUGGAGCUGCGCGACAGGGGCCCGCAACCCAGUUGAGUUGAGUGUCCCCGAUCAGGACUGAGUCAAGGGUCCAGUUGACCGUUGGGCCAACUAAGAGGAGAUCAACACUAACACUAAUUAUUACAACAGUAACCUCAGGCCUACAGGUUCUGCAGGUGUCUUCUGAAUGCAUCAGUCGCCAAUCCUUGGCCGCUUUGGUAGUCGGUUGUCACCAUCGACGCCGCUGCCAGAUCCAUCCCCAGCGUCGGUCAUGGAUUCGGCGUAGGCCUCACCGCGGGCGAAGCUUUCAUAUUCUGGAUCCUGGUCUCCUACUUCCUCCAGCGCCAAAAACGGGACUGGACUUCAGUUUCGUCUUCAUCUGCAAGCUGACAACGAAGACAAACAUGAGGUGCACGUACCUGGAGCAGUGAACGCCCCUGCUGCAAAACCGCAUGAGCGGGAGCGCGGCCACCACCGGCAUGACCUUCAGAACUCACAUUCUGAACAUAGCUGCCUUGAUCAGCGCCGGCAGCAAGGGCAUGCGAGCACGGCCACCAAUCGUUAGGCACCACUAGAGGCACCUUGUACCAACGGAACAUAUGCAUAGUGUACCGUCAAGCCGUAUUCAUAUCAGACGGCGAGGUCACCGUGUGAUACUGUUGGACUCUACGUACCUUUCCGCCCAUUCUACGAUGGCAUUCAAUCCA